CUGAUUCUAGAAUUUUUUUGGUGUCUGACAAAGGUGGGCAUAAGUGAGAAGGAGGAAAAAAUCACAUGGCUGCCAUGAUCUAGGAAACGAUUUCAGUCAUUCAUUACUUAUUGGAAUUGGUAUUAAAAAUGUAAAACAGUAUACAGUUGGAUAACUAAAGAUUAGAAAGGAAUAAAAGAAGCAUACAGGAAUUAGAUAUUAUCUAGCAACUAAGAUCAUUAUAACUUUGGGGCACUGAGUUUGUUUCUUGACGUUUUCUUGGAGCUUAGCCAACAAGUUCACCCAGAGGAGUAAUAAACCAAACUUCAAUUUCUGAAGUCUGUUUCAAAGUCAAAUCCUCUCUUCUGAGAGUACUUUGCUGUUCACUUAUGCAACUGGAAAAGGGCAUUUCAGUCAACGCUUUAUUCUCCAAGUCAGGAGCUGAGGUCUCAGAUGCUGCAAAGAAUUGA
rnacentral:lncRNA from 1 species